AGGGGGAAAAUCUGUCUUGAGGCAGACCAGUCUGCACCUCAGUCUCAGACCGUUAAAGAGUGAGAAGAGGAGGGAGAUAGAGAGAUACAGAGACAGGGAAAUUGUUGCCAGUGAGAAGAUAGAAGGCUGCUCUGAUGGGAAGGGAAGAUCUUCUGCAGUUCCAAAGAAAGUGGGCAUUCUAGAGGGCAUGCAUGUCAUUUGUCUUGCAUUUGGACUUUUUGCACAUUCCAUGGUGGUGGUUGAUAGAACCAAUGUUCAUGACCAUCUUGAUCAGCAGGGAGUUGGUGGCAAAUGUAAAUGUUUAUGGGUUCUUUCUUUGGAGAAUUGUCAGGUUGAAUGGAAGGAAAAUAUUCAGUGGAUGUGUAAAUGAUUCGAGCUUUCAGGAUUCUGUUUUCAGAUGAGAAUAAUUUGGGGCAGUUUCUAAAACUCCUUCAUAAAUACAACUUGGUUUCUGACAAUAAAUAGGGGGAGAAUUGAAGUUGUUGGAAGUAGACAAACUGAUACUUAGCAAAAAUUAAAAAUUAAAAAAAAAAAGUUAUCUUUUUGGUGAAAUGUAGUUUGCUCAGACAACUUAAGAGGUACCUAGCUUUUAAUCAUAGGAGCAUGUGACAAGGAUUCUGGUGGCAUGAUAUGGUCGAUGGGCAUGAGUAUAUGAAAUUAGGGAAGCACAAAUGAUGAGGUUCGGCUUUCCAGAGUGGCAUAAACACGAGCAAAAUCUUUGUCCUUCAUGUAUUAAAGGAUUGUUUGUACACCGGUGGCAGCUUGUGUGUGUUUGUACAACUCUUUGCAUCAUCCGUCUGCUUGACUUGGAAUUACCAUUGGCAUGCCUCUAAGCUCCAAAAUAAGGUGUCUAGGAUUUAAGAUUUAGGGUUCCAGACCUGUCCAUUGGAGGCAAAGUUCCAGCAAUAGGCUUUACACAUGAGUUGAAACUUAAGGCAGUUCCCUUAAGGUUUACCAGCAAGAGGAGUGCGAUGCCAUUUGCCUCAACUAUUCCACAUGUAUUAGUUGGGACAUCUUUGCCGAGUGUGAACGUUUGAGUCUGUCUUGGAAUACUUUUCAUAGCUUGACUAAGCUGAGGGACCCUAUCCUCGUUUAGUUUAUCAGAUGUUGGGAGUGGCUUUCCUCUGCUGGGUCCAAUAGGCAUAUUUUCCUUGUCCACAUUAUAUGUCCUUUAAUUUAUAUGCUUGUGUGUUAGAUUCUUUUUGCUUGAUUUCUGUCAUCAUUCACACAGUUUGAAGUCUACGAGGGCAAAGCUUAUUAGGAAGGUACAUUGAUGUAGAGCAAUUCUACAACACUGUUAACACUUAAAUACUUAAGUCUCUUUUAAUAUAUUAAUGAUUGUACAUUGAUGUAUUGACGACGAACUCUAAUUAUGUACAUGGUCAACAAGAAAAGGCCAUCUUGCUUGAAGUAAGAAAACCGUCUC